CAAGCCAAUUGUACCAUAAGAAAUAAAAGUUAAUACUAUAAAUUUGGGUUUAUUUAAUGGGUAAUUAAACAGCUGUAAACUUCAUAUAGUAUUCCCAACCACGUGUAUUUUAUUUGUUAAAACAGGUGUAAUCUUCAUUUAGCUUAAACUUUGGAUGUUUACCUCCCAUCUUUCUGAUUUCUCCUCGACUUAUUCUCUCGAUAUGUACUGCACUUUUUUAGUUUAGUUUCAGUUAAGCUGGAAAGGCUUUUGAUUGUGGACAAGGAGUGACCAAACCUCGACACUGUGGUUUGUAGCCACGUGGUCUAAUCCUCUGAGCUACAAGCCCCACCAUAUUUUCGCUGGAUCUGUUCCGAAAGAAAGGGUACACAUGGAGCUACCAAGUUCCCUGAUGUAGCUAAUAGGUGUCUUGGAAAGUGUCGAUUAGACAUUUUGAAAAUCGAAUUGGCAGCAUAUCAGCAGGGAUGACUGUAUUCUUCAAGAAAGGUAUCGAGCAACGAAUUCUUCAAUGGAUAUUCUCAAGGUUAUUAUGGAAAUUACCACGUGCUAAUAGUAGCUCCAUAGAAAAGGGAAAUCUUGUGUUCCAAUAGAAGCAGAAACGUUGGGGAUUAUUCGAAUCUUUUAUUAACAUAUGAUGUUAUUUUGCCAACUCACAGUGAAUCUGAAGACACUUCACAUGGUAUACAAGACUGCCAAAGAGUACCUGGCAGCUUUCCUUUGCAAGGGUAUAGAUGCACUGACUAUAGUUCAUCCCCACCUACUUGUGGGGAUUCCAGUAGUUAUUCGUGAGCCAAUUAUGAAAGAUGGAAAAGACGGUCAUCUGAAUGGAGUGAUCGAGAUAACGAUGCACAAUUUAAUCGGGAUUCAGCUAGAAUAAAGGUACAUGAGAUGAGGAGCAAGUUGAAGAAGGAUCUGUUAGGUCAGUUGAAAGAUCUGAAGGCAGAGUGUGUGAUUAAACUUAAGUGGAUUCAAGUGCUUAAAUAAAACUCUUUACAUAAUACACAUUUUGUGUAUUAAAUGAUGUUGCUUCUUCAUUGGCAGCUACAACAUACUUUUACUAAUGCUAAUGGACUCUUAUUUGAAUGUGCAACACCGAUAGCCGGUAGGGAAUGUAAUUUAAGUUGUGCAAUUUCUUAAUCUGAGCUAGAACAACAAUUUAA